CAAAUUACAGGAUCACUAAGUCCCUUCCCAUUCUUAAUGGGGGAUCACCAAGGAGAAGGAAGAGUGAGCCACAAUCCACGAGAGGGUUUGUUCCCAGUUGAAAUUAAUGAGAAAUACUAAUUUGAUUGUGUAUACCUUAAAUCGGCAAGGUUAAAGUUUCUAUUUCAGUGUGGUGGAGUGAGAACUCCGCGUAGAAACUAGGCUAGUUUGAGGAUGACAAAAGCUGUGUUUCGAUCCACCUAAGUUUCAGCUGAUAAAAAUCACUCUGUAACACACAGACUCCAGUGCUGGGAGAGGCCUUGGGCCGCUUAGAUGUUCAGCAGAUACUUGAUAGACAAAUGGUUGAAACAAAUAUGCAUUAUUUAUUUUUUCUCCCAUUUAGCCUAUCCUGACAAAUUAGAACAUCAGAUUAUUCCCUUUGUAAACAUCACCCACUCAUCCAAAGAGGUGUUAUCAUUACGACCGUAUUGCUACUGUGUGUGUGAAAACACAUCUGUGAGAAGUGUCUACGGUGCACCUGACGGGGCUCUUUUAACUUGCUACGUGAGACCAAGGUAGAAGCAGUGUCCUGGAAAUGAAAAGCAGGUGCCUGGGACGCAAAGGAGGCUUUGAUUGGAGGUGGCUUCAAAGAGUGCUCUGCACAAAUGAUGCCCUGUUCUCUGCCCUGCUUUCUGUCCUCACAUUUAAACACUGAAUGCUUGGGUGGCACCUCUCGACCCAGAUAUGCCUUGACACAUGGGAAGGUGGCUCUUCAAAGUUACCGGGUCAAAAACAUCCAAUUCAAGGAGUGUCUGACACUGUUCUUUUAUUCAAUAUCGUUUUGGUGAAUUGAAUUGGUAAAGAAAGAAAAUAAUACUCAUGGACUUGAAUCCAAUCAGCUCUGUAUUGCAGCAAAAUAACUUUCCAGUUAAUCCGUUACCAUUUUGUGUGCUUGCCUCUGCCUGGAUUUGGCCAUAGACUUUACAAUCAGGGAUUUGGGGGGUUAUAUUUUAAUUAUGGCCAUAAAAUUAUUUAGUUUUUGGUUUUAGGAAAUAAAAAUAGCUUCAAGGUGAGUUUUGGCUGUCUCGACCUUUCAUGUGAGCUGUCCAAGGGAAAUAGACAACUUUCUGGAUUCACCUUAACAUCAUUCCUACUAGUCGUUAGCAUCUUUAGCAGACUUUCCUGAAACUUUGAAGUCAGUGUGUGUUUGUGCACACACACGUGUGUCUCUGUGUACAGACUGUGUCACAUUACUGUGGAGCAACAAUGCAAUUUAAAACAAAAAAUUGUGGCAGUUCUGGUUGUGGGUAAAAUGGAGUAAGCACACUCCACCCUGUCUCUCCCACUGAAGAAAGAAAGAAAAAAAAAAAACCACAGGCAGGAUGUAUGGAACAGCCAUUUGAUGAUUCAGAAAAGUAAACAGUAGCAGGCAGAUUGGAAAAUAAAUGUCAGUAUUAAAAGUACUGAAUACCGAAUUCAAUAUCACCUGCAGGCAUUGAGUUCCCCACUCUGGACUCCUGCACCCUGAACUCAGUACAUCCUGGAACCCCAAAGUGUCCACCUGAGUACAGACAGAGAGAACCCCAGGAGCACCGUCUAGUUAGACAAGGUGCUUAUGGAAACUCAGAAGGGUGAUGAAAUUGUUCACUUCCCCUUUUCUCUUUACGCUGUUCUCCCAUGCUCCCAAGCAAUACAGUGGUGGCAAGACAGCAGCUGCCACAGGAGUCCCUAGGAGCCAAAACUACCUAGGAGGGAUGCCUUCCUCUCCUGUGAAAGAAACUGUGCUCUCAGGAGGGUGGGGAAAACCCUCUUUGCUUUUCUUCUCUUUGUCUGCUCCUCCUGCUUGGCUUAAUCUGUGAGAGCAGUUGCAGGAAUGGGUGGUGGAGUGGGAUAACUGGCUGAGGAAUAAAGAGAAAGCUGAAAUGUACCAAGAAGCUUGUGGAGAGGCAGGAGCUUGGGAAAGUGACCUCAGGGCUGUUUGUCAAUGCCUGGACUCCUACUCAAGACGUGCCUAUGUAUAUCUGAUCUUAAAUGGUAUAUGUAGAUAUUGAGAACUGAGCUGUAAAAUAGUCUAUUCUUCAAAUAUCAGACUUGCUACUGGGUGCUGAACACAUGGAAUACAUUAAAUAGCUUUGCAAAAUUUUUGAAAAUGAAACUGAUCCUUGAGCCACAACCAACCAAAACCUGUUGGAACUGCAGGCCUGAAUUCAGCUGAGGCAAUUGCUAACGAAAACAAAAACAUCAACAUUUUUGAUGUUUAAAUAGGAUUUAAACACAACUCAGCUUAUCAUAAUGAAAUAUGCAGAACAUCCAGGAUAUAGCCCAAAAUUACUCAGUAUAAAAAGAACCAAGAAAAUCACAAUUUACAAGAAAAUAAACAACAGAUGGCAAUACUAUCAUGAAGCAGAUGUUGGACAUAUCUAACAAAAGCUGUAAAACAGCUAUUAUAAAUAUGCCCCAACAAGUAAGCAUAAACAUUCUUGAAACAAAUGGAAAAGAGGCAACCACAACAAAGAACCAGAAGAUAUAAAGAAGAACCAGAUAACAAUUUUAUAACUUAAAACGAUGAUAACCCAAGUUAUCCACUAAGUAGGAUCAAUAGGAGGCUGGAGAUGACCAAGAAUAGAGUAAUAGAAAUUAACCAAUGUGAAAAAGAGAGGAAAAAAAGAUUAAAAAGAAAAGACAUCUACAACCAAAAACAUGAUGAUAAAAAUGCCAACAUUUAAGAAUAAUAGAAAAAUAUUGAUAGCAUCCAGAGAAGAUGCAUGCAUUUCUUUUGGAAUAACAACAAUUUUAUUAACUGUGGAUUUAUAUUCAUAAAUUAUGAAAGGCAGAGGGAGGUGAAACAACAUGUUUAAAGUGCUGAAGAAGAGAACUAUUUAUGAAAAAUGUAAAUACAGUGAAAAUAUCAUUCAAGAAUAAGGUGAAAUCAAGCUAUCCUAAGGUGAAGGAAAACUGAGACUUUAUUUCUUGCAAACUUACUUUAAAAGAAUUUAUAAAGAAAGUUCUUCAGAAAAAAAAAUAAUGCCAGAAGAAAACUUGGAAACUCAGGAAUGAAAAAUUGGCAAUGAAAAUGAUAACUAACUGGCAAGAUACAAUAGACUAUUUUUUCUACUGAGUUAUUUAAACUAGGUUUGACAAUCAAAAGCAAAGUGGUACCAUUUUCUGAUAAGGGUUUCAAUGUAUGUAGAUGUAAUAGUAAGAUGAUUACAACAUAAAGGGGUGAGAGGAAAGAGACCUGUAUAUUAACAAGAUUUCCCCUUUCCACUUUAAGUGGCAAUUUUAAUAUCAGAUAAAUUAUACUUCACAACAAAGAAAACUCCCAGAGAUAAAGAGGAACAAAACAUAAUAAAAUAUCAACCCACCAAGAAUAUAUAACAUCAUAAACUUGAAUGCACCUAAUAAUAGGUCUUAAAAAUGCAUAAAGCAAAAACUGACAGAAAUGAAAUAAGAAAUAUACUGAUUUGGCUGGGCACUGUGACUCACACCUUUAAUCUCAGCACUUUAGGAGGCCAAGGUGGGCAGAUCACCUGAGGUCGGGAGUUCGAAACCAGCCUGACCAACAUGGAGAAACCCUGUCUCUACUAAAAAUACAAAAUUAGCCAUACAUGGUGGUGCAUGCCUGUAAUCCCAGCUACUCUGGAGGCUGAGGCAGGAGAAUCACCUGAACCCAGAAGGCAGAGGUUGCAAUGAGUGGAGAUGGUGCCAUUGCACUCCAGCCUGGGCAACAAGAGUAAAACUCCAUCUCAAAAAAAAAAACAAAAAAAAGAAAGAAAUAGACUGAUUCACACCGUUGGAGACUUCAAUACUCUUCUGUCAGUGGCAAAUAGUGCUAGUAAACAGAAGCUAAGUGAGCUCUAGAAGAAUGUAAAAACUCCAUCAACCAACUGAAUCUAAUUGUUAUGUAUAGAAUACUUCACUACUGGUGGCAGAAUAAACAUACUUUAAAGGGCACAAGGUGCAAAAUAAGCCAAAUCCUGGAUCAGAAAAAAUAAAUGUAUUUUUAAUUUAUCACAAAAUAGAUUUUAUUUAUCACAAAGCAUCUUCUGUAUCCAUAAUGGAAUUAGGCUAGAAAUGAAUAACGUAAGGUAAUAUGAAACUCAUCAAACACAUAAAAAUUAAAGCACGUAUUAUUAAAGAAACCAUGAGUCACAGAGGAAAACUUUUGAGAAAUUAAAAAAAUUGUGAACUGAAUGAAAAUUAAAAUGCAACACAUAAAAAAAUUAAAUGCAACACAUGAAUUAAAAUGCAACACAUAAAACUGUGUGGGAAGCAGCCAAAGCAGUGGCUUAGAGUAAAAUGUAUAGCACUGAAAGCUGACAUUACAUAAGAAUGGGCAAAAAUCAAUAAUUUAAGUUUUCACCUCAUUUUAGAAAAGUAAAAUUAGCAAUGUUAUUACCAUUAAAAUCAGCACACAAGCAUAAUUUUAAAUUAUUACUACUAAUUUUUUGUUCAAAAUUGUUUUUUCAUAUAACAUCCUGUAAACACAUAUCUAUGAACUCUGUGUAGACAUGCUUCCUUGGAUUUUACGGUUUGGCUUCUCAGAUUUCACUGCAUUCAUAUGAACUUCUGAGAAAUAGGACAGACCAGUUAACAGUUUUCUCAACUACAAAAAAGGAUUUUGAACAAUUUUUAGAGUCACUUAUUGAUAAAAUAAUAUAUAGGUAUGUCUUGUGA
rnacentral:lncRNA from 1 species